rnacentral:rRNA from 1 species
CCAAUAGCGUAUAUUAAAGUUGUUGCAGUUAAAAAGCUCGUAGUUGAAUUUCGGGGUCAGUAGGUCGGUCGUGCCACUGGUAUGAACUGGUUUUACUGAUUCCUCCCUCUUGAAGAACUGUAAUGCCAUUAAUUUGGUGUUGCAGGGAAUCAGGACUGUUACUUUGAAAAAAUUAGAGUGUUUAAAGCAGGCUUUAGCUUGAAUACAUUAGCAUGGAAUAAUGAAAUAGGACGUUUGAUCCUAUUUUGUUGGUUUCUAGGAUUGACGUAAUGAUUAAUAGGGAUAGUUGGGGGCAUUAGCAUUCAAUUGUCAGAGGUGAAAUUCUUGGAUUUAUUGAAGACUAACUACUGCGAAAGCAUUUGCCAAGGAUGUUUUCAUUAAUCAAGAACGAAAGUUAGGGGAUCGAAGACGAUCAGAUACCGUCGUAGUCUUAACCAUAAACUAUGCCGACUAGGGAUCGGAUGAUGUUAAUUUUUUAAUGACUCAUUCGGCGCCUUAC